rnacentral:rRNA from 1 species
CAGGGAUGCCUCAGUAACGGCGAGUGAAGCGGCAAAAGCUCAAAUUUGAAAUCUGGCUCUUUUAGGGUCCGAGUUGUAAUUUGUAGAAGAUGUUUCGGGUGUGGCUCCGGUUUAAGUUCUUUGGAAUAUUACAUCAUAGAGGGUGAGAAUCCCGUAUGUGACCGGCAGCCUUCGCCUAUGUGAAACUCUUUCGACGAGUCGAGUUGUUUGGGAAUGCAGCUCAAAAUGGGAGGUAUAUUUCUUCUAAAGCUAAAUAUUGGCCAGAGACCGAUAGCGCACAAGUAGAGUGAUCGAAAGAUGAAAAGCACUUUGGAAAGAGAGUUAAACAGUACGUGAAAUUGUUGAAAGGGAAGCGCUUGCAACCAGACUUGCACGCAGUUGAUCAUCCGGUGUUCUCACCGGGGCACUCUGCUGCGUUCAGGCCAGCAUCGGUUUUGGUGGUUGGAUAAAGGCCUUGGGAAUGUGGCUUCCUUCGGGGAGUGUUAUAGCCCUCGGUGCAAUGCAGCCUACCGGGACCGAGGACCGCGCUUCGGCUAGGAUGCUGGCGUAAUGGUUGUAAGCGACCCGUCUUGAAACACGGACCAAGGAGUCUAACAUCUAUGCGAGUGUUUGGGUGUUAAACCCAUACGCGUAAUGAAAGUGAACGGAGGUGAGAACCCUUAAGGGUGCAUCAUCGACCGGUCCUGAUGUCUUCGGAUGGAUCUGAGUAAGAGCAUAGCUGUUGGGACCCGAAAGAUGGUGAACUAUGCGUGAAUAGGGUGAAGCCAGAGGAAACUCUGGUGGAGGCUCGCAGCGGUUCUGACGUGCAAAUCGAUCGUCAAAUUUGCGCAUAGGGGCGAAAGACUUAUCGAACCAUUGAACACCUACUAGGUGGUUAAGAGGCCUUAGUACGGCCUAGUCCUCAGCGAGGGCGACAUUGUCAAAUUGUUCGGGGACCUCCUGAUAACUCUCAGACUACCGCAGCCCGCCCGAAAGGGGGGUGCGCACCGGGCUAACGACCCUGGGGAUGGUAACAACGUCUGGGUAGGGAAGAUCCGCAGCCAAGUCCUACCGCCCCCCCGGGGCCACGGAUGCAGUUCACAGACUUGAAGGCAGUGGGCUCCGCCGGGAGCUUAAGAUAAAGUCGAACCCCCCGGAGACGGGGUGGAGGGAGGAGAGUGCGACGCACUCAGAGUCCUUCAGGGCUCACGCCCGAGC